AUUGAACGCUGGCGGCAGGCUUAACACAUGCAAGUCGAGCGAUUGGCGGACGGGUGAGUAAUGUCUGGGAAACUGCCUGAUGGAGGGGGAUAACUACUGGAAACUGUAGCUAAUACCGCGUACCAUAGGAUGAGCCCAAGUGGGAUUAGGUAGUUGGUUGGGUAAAGGCUCACCAAGCCGACGAUCCCUAGCUGGUCUGAGAGGAUGACCAGCCACACUGGGACUGAGACACGGCCCAGACUCCUACGGGAGGCAGCAGUAGGGAAUAUUGCGCAAUGGGGGCAAGCCUGACGCAGCCAUGCCGCGUGAAUGAAGAAGGCCUUCGGUUUGUAAAGCUCUUUCGUUAGCGAGGCGUUAACUACACAAGAAGCACCGGCUAACUCCGUGCCAGCAGCCGCGGUAAUAC
rnacentral:rRNA from 1 species